AUUGAACGCUGGCGGAAUGCUUUACACAUGCAAGUCGAACGGCAGCACGGGGCAACCUGGUGGCGAGUGGCGAACGGGUGAGUAAUACAUCGGAACGUGCCCAAUCGUGGGGGAUAACGUAGCGAAAGUUACGCUAAUACCGCAUACGAUCUACGGAUGAAAGCGGGGGAUCGCAAGACCUCGCGCGAAUGGAGCGGCCGAUGUCAGAUUAGGUAGUUGGUGGGGUAAAGGCUCACCAAGCCAACGAUCUGUACCUGGUCUGAGAGGACGACCAGCCACACUGGGACUGGGACACGGCCCAGACUCCUACGGGAGGCAGCAGUGGGGAAUUUUGGACAAUGGGCGCAAGCCUGAUCCAGCCAUUCCGCGUGCAGGAUGAAGGCCUUCGGGUUGUAAACUGCUUUUGUACGGAACGAAACGGUUCUCUCUAAUACAGGGGGCUAAUGACGGUACCGUAAGAAUAAGCACCGGCUAACUACGUGCCAGCCGCCGCCGUAAAAC
rnacentral:rRNA from 1 species